rfam:Schistosoma haematobium scaffold246_25, whole genome shotgun sequence.
AGCUUUCCGAAUCCGUACAGAGAUUUCUUCAGAUACCAACCCAUUAGGGUUAAUCAGACUUCCAAGAUAAGUGAAGUG